GGGUUGUGAGGUUAAGCGACUAAGCGUACACGGUGGAUGCCCUGGCAGUCAGAGGCGAUGAAGGACGUGCUAAUCUGCGAUAAGCGUCGGUAAGGUGAUAUGAACCGUUAUAACCGGCGAUUUCCGAAUGGGGAAACCCAGUGUGAUUCGUCACACUAUCAUUAACUGAAUCCAUAGGUUAAUGAGGCGAACCGGGGGAACUGAAACAUCUAAGUACCCCGAGGAAAAGAAAUCAACCGAGAUUCCCCCAGUAGCGGCGAGCGAACGGGGAGCAGCCCAGAGCCUGAAUCAGUGUGUGUGUUAGUGGAAGCGUCUGGAAAGGCGCGCGAUACAGGGUGACAGCCCCGUACACAAAAAUGCACAUACUGUGAGCUCGAUGAGUAGGGCGGGACACGUGGUAUCCUGUCUGAAUAUGGGGGGACCAUCCUCCAAGGCUAAAUACUCCUGACUGACCGAUAGUGGACCAGUACCGUGAGGGAAAGGCGAAAAGAACCCCGGCGAGGGGAGUGAAAAAGAACCUGAAACCGUGUACGUACAAGCAGUGGGAGCCUCUUUUAUGGGGUGACUGCGUACCUUUUGUAUAAUGGGUCAGCGACUUAUAUUCUGUAGCAAGGUUAACCGAAUAGGGGAGCCGAAGGGAAACCGAGUCUUAACUGGGCGUUAAGUUGCAGGGUAUAGACCCGAAACCCGGUGAUCUAGCCAUGGGCAGGUUGAAGGUUGGGUAACACUAACUGGAGGACCGAACCGACUAAUGUUGAAAAAUUAGCGGAUGACUUGUGGCUGGGGGUGAAAGGCCAAUCAAACCGGGAGAUAGCUGGUUCUCCCCGAAAGCUAUUUAGGUAGCGCCUCGUGAAUUCAUCUCCGGGGGUAGAGCACUGUUUCGGCAAGGGGGUCAUCCCGACUUACCAACCCGAUGCAAACUGCGAAUACCGGAGAAUGUUAUCACGGGAGACACACGGCGGGUGCUAACGUCCGUCGUGAAGAGGGAAACAACCCAGACCGCCAGCUAAGGUCCCAAAGUCAUGGUUAAGUGGGAAACGAUGUGGGAAGGCCCAGACAGCCAGGAUGUUGGCUUAGAAGCAGCCAUCAUUUAAAGAAAGCGUAAUAGCUCACUGGUCGAGUCGGCCUGCGCGGAAGAUGUAACGGGGCUAAACCAUGCACCGAAGCUGCGGCAGCGACACUGUGUGUUGUUGGGUAGGGGAGCGUUCUGUAAGCCUGUGAAGGUGUACUGUGAGGUAUGCUGGAGGUAUCAGAAGUGCGAAUGCUGACAUAAGUAACGAUAAAGCGGGUGAAAAGCCCGCUCGCCGGAAGACCAAGGGUUCCUGUCCAACGUUAAUCGGGGCAGGGUGAGUCGACCCCUAAGGCGAGGCCGAAAGGCGUAGUCGAUGGGAAACAGGUUAAUAUUCCUGUACUUGGUGUUACUGCGAAGGGGGGACGGAGAAGGCUAUGUUGGCCGGGCGACGGUUGUCCCGGUUUAAGCGUGUAGGCUGGUUUUCCAGGCAAAUCCGGAAAAUCAAGGCUGAGGCGUGAUGACGAGGCACUACGGUGCUGAAGCAACAAAUGCCCUGCUUCCAGGAAAAGCCUCUAAGCAUCAGGUAACAUCAAAUCGUACCCCAAACCGACACAGGUGGUCAGGUAGAGAAUACCAAGGCGCUUGAGAGAACUCGGGUGAAGGAACUAGGCAAAAUGGUGCCGUAACUUCGGGAGAAGGCACGCUGAUAUGUAGGUGAAGUCCCUCGCGGAUGGAGCUGAAAUCAGUCGAAGAUACCAGCUGGCUGCAACUGUUUAUUAAAAACACAGCACUGUGCAAACACGAAAGUGGACGUAUACGGUGUGACGCCUGCCCGGUGCCGGAAGGUUAAUUGAUGGGGUCAGCGCAAGCGAAGCUCUUGAUCGAAGCCCCGGUAAACGGCGGCCGUAACUAUAACGGUCCUAAGGUAGCGAAAUUCCUUGUCGGGUAAGUUCCGACCUGCACGAAUGGCGUAAUGAUGGCCAGGCUGUCUCCACCCGAGACUCAGUGAAAUUGAACUCGCUGUGAAGAUGCAGUGUACCCGCGGCAAGACGGAAAGACCCCGUGAACCUUUACUAUAGCUUGACACUGAACAUUGAGCCUUGAUGUGUAGGAUAGGUGGGAGGCUUUGAAGUGUGGACGCCAGUCUGCAUGGAGCCGACCUUGAAAUACCACCCUUUAAUGUUUGAUGUUCUAACGUGGACCCGUGAUCCGGGUUGCGGACAGUGUCUGGUGGGUAGUUUGACUGGGGCGGUCUCCUCCUAAAGAGUAACGGAGGAGCACGAAGGUUGGCUAAUCCUGGUCGGACAUCAGGAGGUUAGUGCAAUGGCAUAAGCCAGCUUGACUGCGAGCGUGACGGCGCGAGCAGGUGCGAAAGCAGGUCAUAGUGAUCCGGUGGUUCUGAAUGGAAGGGCCAUCGCUCAACGGAUAAAAGGUACUCCGGGGAUAACAGGCUGAUACCGCCCAAGAGUUCAUAUCGACGGCGGUGUUUGGCACCUCGAUGUCGGCUCAUCACAUCCUGGGGCUGAAGUAGGUCCCAAGGGUAUGGCUGUUCGCCAUUUAAAGUGGUACGCGAGCUGGGUUUAGAACGUCGUGAGACAGUUCGGUCCCUAUCUGCCGUGGGCGCUGGAGAACUGAGGGGGGCUGCUCCUAGUACGAGAGGACCGGAGUGGACGCAUCACUGGUGUUCGGGUUGUCAUGCCAAUGGCACUGCCCGGUAGCUAAAUGCGGAAGAGAUAAGUGCUGAAAGCAUCUAAGCACGAAACUUGCCCCGAGAUGAGUUCUCCCUGACCCUUUAAGGGUCCUGAAGGAACGUUGAAGACGACGACGUUGAUAGGCCGGGUGUGUAAGCGCAGCGAUGCGUUGAGCUAACCGGUACUAAUGAACCGUGAGGCUUAACCUUACAACGCCGAAGGUGUUU
rnacentral:rRNA from 1 species